rnacentral:tRNA from 1 species
GCAGGUAUAGUUCAGUGGCAGAGCACAUGCUUAGCAUGCACGAGGUACUGGGUUCAAUCCCUAGUACUUCCA